GUUAUUUUGAACUGCAAGUCACUCUGGAUAAGAGCGUCUGCUAAAUGACUCAAA
rfam:Salmo salar isolate Sally breed double haploid chromosome ssa01, whole genome shotgun sequence.